rnacentral:pre_miRNA from 1 species
CUUAUACUCCCUCCCUCUGGAAAUACUUGUCCUUGAAAUGGAUAAAAUAAAUGUAUCUAUAACUAAAAUAAGUAUAGAUACAACCAUUUUGAGGACAACUAUUUUCGGACAGAGGGAGUAGUCA